GUNCUAAUAAAAAUAUCUUGAAAUUGCUANAGUAAGUGAAAAUACUUACAUAUUAAAUAAAAGACGAGAAGACCCUAGAAAUUUUAUAUAAAAUAUAAUUAUUAUUAUUAUUUUGUUGGGGCGACAGAAUAACAUUUAACUUAUUUUACUUAAUAUGAAUUUUUUAUAAUGAAAAAAGAAAUUACUCUAGGGAUAACAGCAUAAUAAUAUAAUAGUUUAUGACCUCGAUGUUGGACUAAGGAAUAUUUUACUCAGAAGGUAAAAUAAUAUGUUCUGUUCGAACAAGUUACUCUUACAUGAUCUGAGUUNG
rnacentral:rRNA from 1 species